ensembl:lncRNA
UUUUUUUUUUUUUUUUUUUUGCUUUUUAGAGCCUCACCUGUGGCAUAUGGAAGUUUCCAAGCUUGGGGUCAAAUUGGAGAUGCAGCUCCCGGCCUACACCAUAGUCACAACAAUGCAGGAAUCCAAGCUGCAUCUGUGACCUAUACCACAGCUCGAGGCAAUGCUGGAUCCUUAACCCACUGAGCGAGGCUGGGGAUCAAACCAGCAUACUCAUGGAUACCAGUCAGGUUCAUAACCUGCUAAGCCACAACAGGCACUACUAAAAAUUUUAGUUUCAAAAAAAAAAUUAAAGAAUUUGUUUGUCAAUUCUGAAAUAGAAGAAAAGAAAAUUAUACUUGGAAAAGGUAAUGAAAAUGAAAUCAGAAAUUCAUAAUGUAGGGUAAAAAUGGGAGAACUGAUUAACUGAAAAAAAAAAAAAAAGACUGAGUUCACACUGUGCCUCGGGUUAAGAAACUGACAUAGUGUCCAUGAGGAUGCAGGUUUGAUCCCUGGCCUCACUCAGUGGGUUAAGGAUCCAGUGUUGCUGCAAGCUGUGGCAUAGGUUGCAGUCCCUGGCCUGAGAACUUCCAUAUGCCACAGGAGCAGCCAAAAACAAAAACAAUGACAACAAAAUAGAAAACAGUCCCCAAUUCAUUUUUUGAGGCCAGUAUUACUCUGAUACAAGUAUACCAGAAGUAGACGUCAUAAAAAAACAGAACAAUAGAUCAAUAUUAUUUAUUACUUACAGAUGCACAAAUUGUCAACAAAACAGAUCUUCCUCAACUUAUGAUAGUUACACCCAGAUAAACUGAAAUUAAUUGUUAAAUUAUCAUUAAGUCAAAAGGAUUUAGUACUCCCAACAUACCAAACAUCACAGCUUAGGGUAGCCCACCUUACACAUGCUUGGAACACUUACAUUAGCCUACAUUUGGGCAAAAUAAUCUAACAUAAGGCCUAUUUUAUAAUAAAAUAUUGAGCACCUCAUAUAAUUUAUUAAUACCAUUCUGAAAGUAAAAAAACAGAAUGAUUAUAUGGGCAUAGAAUAGUUAUAAGUGUACUGGUUGUUUACUCUCAUGACCUCAUGGCUGAAUGUGAGUUAGGGCUCACUGCCAUUGGCCAGCAUCACAAGAAAGUAUCUUACAACAUACUGCUGGCCUGGGAAAAGAUCAAAAUUCAAAAUUUGAAGUGUGGUUUCUACUGAACGUGUACUGCUUUUGCACUGUCAUGAAGUCAAAAAAUUUUAAGUUCAACCAGGGUAUGUCACGGACCAUUUAUUUGUAUUAGCAAACAGAAUCUAACAACAUAUAAAAAGAAUUCUGGGAGUUCCCUUGUCACUGCUGUGGUUUUGGUUACAGUUGCAGUGUGGGUACCCCCCCUGGCCUGGGAACUUUCAAAUGCUGUGGGUGUGGCCAAAAAACAAAAAAAUUCUGCACCAUGACCAAGAAAUUUUAUCCCAGGAAUGCAAAGUUGGUUUAACACAUGGAAAUCAAUCAACAUAAUACACCAUAUUAAUAAACAAUAGACAAGACACCAUAUGGUUAACUCAAGAGAUGUGGGGAAAGCAUUUGACAAAAACCAGCAUCCUUACAUGAUUAAAAAAAAAAACUCAACAAACUAGGCAUAGAAGGAAACACUCUCAACUUGGCAAAGGGCAUCUAUGAAAAAUCCACAGCUAACAUCAUACUUAACGGUGAAAAAUGAAAGUUUCCUGCAUAAGAUCAGGAACAUGAUGAUGAUAUUUACUCUGAUCACUUUUUUUUUUGUCUUUUUUGCCAUUUUUUGGGCCGUUCCUGCGGCACAUGGAGGUUCCCAGGCUAGGGGGCGAAUUGGAGCUGUAGCCACUGGCCUACACCAGAGCCACA